rnacentral:rRNA from 1 species
GUGGGGAAUCUUCCGCAAUGGACGAAAGUCUGACGGAGCAACGCCGCGUGAGUGAAGAAGGUUUUCGGAUCGUAAAGCUCUUUCGUUAGGGACGAACGUGCUCUUUGUGAAUAAUGAGGAGUAAUGACGGUACCUAAAUAAGAAGCCACGGCUAACUACGUGCCAGCAGCCGCGGUAAUACGUAGGUGGCAAGCGUUGUCCGGAAUUAUUGGGCGUAAAGCGCGCGCAGGCGGGAUAUCAAGUCUGUCUUAAAAGUGCGAGGCUCAACCUCGUGAGGGGACAGAAACUGGUAUUCUUGAGUGUCGGAGAGGAAAGUGGAAUUCCAAGUGUAGCGGUGAAAUGCGUAGAGAUUUGGAAGAACACCAGUGGCGAAGGCGACUUUCUGGACGAUGUCUGACACUGAGGCGCGAAAGCCAGGGGAGCGAACGGGAUUAGAUACCCGUGUAGUCC